AACGAACGCUGGCGGCAGGCCUAACACAUGCAAGUCGAGCGCGCCCUUCGGGGUGAGCGGCGGACGGUGGUGUCACGCGUGGGGACGUUCCCUUUUCUACGGAAUAGCCUCGGGACAGUGAUAGUAAUACCGUAUCCGCCCUAUUAGGGGAGGAUUUAUCGGACAAGGUUCGUCCCGAGUGGGAUUCGGUCGUUAGUUGGGUAAUGGCCUCUCAAGCCGACGAUCAAUAGCUGGGUUGUGAGGAAGAUCAGCAACUCUGGGACUGAGACACGGCCCAGACUCCUACGGGAGGCAGGAAUGGGGAAUCGUGGACAAUGGGGGCAACCCUGAUGUAGCCAUGCCGGGUGAGUGAUGAAGGCCUUAGGGUUGUAAAGCGCUAUCAGCUGGGAAGAUAAUGACGGUACCAGCAGAAGAAGCCCCGGCUAACUACGUG
rnacentral:rRNA from 1 species